UUCUUAAUUGAUGCUUUAUGGAGG
rnacentral:piRNA from 1 species